rnacentral:misc_RNA from 1 species
UGAAGUUCCCCAUCUGGAUAGUUUAUUUACCCAUUGGACUUGUUUAGUCUUUUUAUUUUUUUAGGGAAUAAACUUUUGCAUAAAGAAGAGAAAAUGAGUGCCAUACAGUGAAGAAGGAUGUUUAUUUUUGUAGUUAGAACUUACAAAGCGAUAUUGCAAAGCUCUAUUUGUCUUCUAGUUUGCUGAAGAUGAGAAAAUGAGUGCCAUCCAUUGAAGAAG